rnacentral:sRNA from 1 species
CCCACGGCUCGCGCCGUGGGCUACUCUCUGUCGGCCCUCCGGGCCU